rnacentral:rRNA from 1 species
UACGUAGGGUGCGAGCGUUGUCCGGAAUUAUUGGGCGUAAAGAGCUUGUAGGCGGUUUGUCGCGUCUGCUGUGAAAAUCCGGGGCUCAACCCCGGACUUGCAGUGGGUACGGGCAGACUAGAGUGUGGUAGGGGAGACUGGAAUUCCUGGUGUAGCGGUGAGAUGCGCAGAUAUCAGGAGGAACACCGAUGGCGAAGGCAGGUCUCUGGGCCACUACUGACGCUGAGAAGCGAAAGCGUGGGGAGCGAACAGG